UCGACCAAACUAACGAGCACCAUUUUAAACUGAUGACUGUUUGUUUAAAUUCUGUUUUACAUGAUUUGGACGGCAAAGCUUUCAGAGUUGCCAAAGUUGGAUUUACCUUUUCCCACUUCAGGCAAUCCCAGCGGUGGUAUUUCGACCAAUUAUUUCUUUAUUCUAAAACAAAUGAGCCGAUUAUAUUUAGUCUGCAUGACUAUGUUGUCGGUUUUAUUUACAGAAGUCGUGAAAAUGAAGAGCCUGUAAAUAAUAACACUGCGAAAGAUAUUAAUUUAUCGAGGAUCCAGCGCCCUUCAAAUGGAACUACUGCUGAAGUACCCUUCGGCAAAGCAGCUUAAGCCCCAUCUGUCCCGGUGGAGCUGCACAGCGAUCGGCAGUACAAGACCGCCGUUGUACCGGGCACUUGUGAGAUGUGUCUCUUCGAGAGUCACUACCCUCCCUUUUCUUCUUAAAAGAGGGAGAGUGGGCAGUCCACUUGCCUCACACUCUUUUUUUGUUGUGUGUACUUUAGACAGUAAAAAAGUUUUCGAGAAGACAAGAAAGAAAGAGAGAGAGAGAGAGAGCGAGAGAGCUGUGGCAGCAUUCAGUCCUGAGCCAGACAGGGUUCACAUGUGGCCCCAAAGGCAGCAGACGGUGUAUUGAAUUACUGUAACUCAAGGUGUAAUGUGGUAGCUGUGUGGGAUAUGUAAGAAUUACACAAACGGAAGCGGAGGCGUCUUACUUCAGCUUCAGCGUUCUACUGCAGCCAUAAAAUGUUGAAUUGUAUGGUUUAUUUUCUUACAUUUCAGCUGUAACAAUUCAUCGAUGAAAUAGCAGCCACUCUUUCUCCAGUGAUGAUUAAUGUAAUUAUCAUUAGUUUGACCAAUUACAUUAAACUGCCAUUUCAAAAUAUAAAAUUAAGAGAAAGACAGAUGAAUGCAUGUUGUGUAAACUAAAAAACAUAUUAUCUGCGAAUUGCAAUUUUCAAUGUGACACCUGCUAUAUCUAUGACUAAUAACGUUUUAAGACUAUAUAAACUGUGUUUUAACUGAUUUUCUUUAUGCGGUCAAAUAUUGUUGAGCAUUUACAUUUCAAGAAUUAUUUUUUCUUGUUUUUUGCAUAGUUUACUGUAAAUGUGUCGAUAAGGAUUGUUUUCUUCCACUGUAACUAUUGUUUCAACCGUAUGAGAGACAUAAAGAGUACAGUACUCAUGUUCCCUGAAAUUACCACAGUAACAUAAUAUAACAGCCAUUUCUCCCACUUCCAUAUCCUAAAGACUGCAGGCUGAGAAACUGAUCAAGCAGAAAGGUUUAACAUAAGAAUGCAUUUAUCCGUGAAAAUGUUGCAGAUGAACAAAACCAUCAGUGUGUGAAUAUUGAUAUAUAUUUUAACUACAUCUCUACUUCCACAGGAAACAGUUCAACAUCGGUGAAUGGAACAUUCACAUUGUAUAAUAGAAAAUAUUGCCAGUUUUAAAUCGCACAAAUUCAUAUGUAAUCUAUGGUUGUUGUGAAUUGAUUAGGGAAUACAAUGUGAAUGGGAUUUGGUCAGACUGAAUAAAAAAAAGAGAAGACAUGAUGGUGCGAAGAUGACCUCAAAGAGAAAACCCAUCAAAAAGAAAUCGUGAAUCACUUAUUCACAGGAUCCUGGUUACUCUCUCGUCACAUGAGGACACACACACGAGCUGCUCCUCGAGCUCACACGAGUCAACACUCCCAGGAUGAUGUCAUCAGAGUCAAAUCUUAGAAUUGCUCCACUGGCAAUGCAUUGAGAGAGGAUUGGUGAUAGUGCCCAAUGGUUAGAGAGAGACAAGACUCUCAAAUACACUCGCAGCACUAAACAGUAUUUGUUUGUAAUGUUCCAGUUCUUGAGUCCUGCUAAUUGACUACCGUGGUCAGUAAGGUAUAAACGUAUACAAAACUUUC